UACGUCUUUAGGUUCGGGGGGGGGUACCUCGCCACCCUGGGACUUGCCUCCCUCCCCACAUAGAUGACAUCAGCAUUCCAGGGUACCCCCCCGAACCUAAAGACGUAGCGAGAGGGUAUGAGAGCUGGGUACCCUUUCUCUCUUCUGGUUGCAGAUCUUUUCUCGCUGGCGUCUUCCGUCACGAGGUGAAGGGUUGCGAGGUCAUUCUGACACAGGCUUAAGAUGACCUCCAAGGCCGCCUCGCUGUACAGCCUAGAUUUUGCACUGACUCUAAGCCUAUGCGGCCUUGGAGGUCAUCUUAAGCCUGUGUCAGAAUGACCUUGCAACCCUUCACCUCGUGACGGAAGACGCCAGCGAGAAAAGAUCUGCAACCAGAAGAGAGAAAGGGUACCCAGCUCUCAUACCCUCUCGCUACGUCUUUAGGUUCGGGGGGGUACCUCGCCACCCUGGGACUUGCCUCCCUCCCCACAUAGAUGACAUCAGCAUUCCAGGGUACGUAACCAAGAAAUUCUUACUUUAUAAACGAGAGAAAAACCAGAUGUACCCUGCCACGGAGGGAGGGUUUCGCCGUUUGAUUGUUGGCGUAUAGGACUGUUCAUGAGUAAGCCCCUUUCUGCUCUUAUGGACGGCCUCGUAAGAAGGCACAUAAACUGUGCUCAGAUCUGUAGACCUCCGUCAGAGCAGUUCCUGCAGGACGCUCUGUUGAGCUGUUUCCCAGGCUCGAGUCCUCACCUUUGGUUAUUGAACGAACUCUUUCAAGUAACUUUUAUCACGAUUCUUUAUUUCAGUUGACAUUAUUCAUGUUUGCACCUCCUGGGCUCAUCCACUUUCCUGAACUUGAACCCGGGGACCCGAGGGUCACCGUCAAUAGUCAAUGUGACCUUUCGACCUUGUCCCCAACACAGACCUAGCUGAAAGGAAGUCAGUCUUGUCAAUUUGCCGUUUUCUUGUUU
rnacentral:lncRNA from 1 species